UGGAUUUGGCGGUGGACACGGAGGUGGAUUUGGCGGUGGACACGGGGGUGGAUUUGGCGGUGGACACGGAGGUGGAUUUGGCGGUGGACACGGUGGUGGAUUCGGAGGAUCUGGAGGUUAUGGCGGAAGAGGAUUUGGAGGUGGAAAUGGAGGAUUUGGUGGGGGAUUCGGCGGCGGUCAUGGAGGAUUCGGAGGCGGUCAUGGAGGAUUCGGAGGCGGUCAUGGAGGAUUCGGAGGUGGAUUUGGAGGACGAUAUGGAAAGUAAGCUGUUCGAUGAUCGCUCGACUCAAGAAGGAAUGUAUAUUGAAAAAUGUCUUCCUAUAUUCUAUAUUAAAAUGUAAGAUAAACUAA